rnacentral:rRNA from 1 species
UACGUAGGGUGCGAGCGUUGUCCGGAAUCACUGGGCGUAAAGGGCGCGUAGGUGGUCUGAUAAGGGUGUGGUGAAAGCCCGGGGCUCAACCCCGGGUCGGCCGUGCCGACUGUCAGACUAGAGUGCUGUAGGGGCAGGCGGAAUUCCGGGUGUAGCGGUGGAAUGCGUAGAGAUCCGGAGGAAGACCGGUGGCGAAGGCGGCCUGCUGGGCAGAUACUGACACUGAGGCGCGACAGCGUGGGGAGCAAACAGG